UCAGGGUUACAAUGGCUUCAAAUGAAUCGGCUCUUAGACGCGUCGUUUAGGGUUCAUACAAAUCAGCCGUUUUCCGCAUCAGAGAGAUUGUGAUUGUAGAUCGUGAUCAAGUCCUUUCGCCUUUCGUCAUAUGAAAUGUGUGUUAAGCUUUGUAAAAAGCGGUGCUUCCACAAUAUAAAUAGUAUCUGAGGUCAAGAAUCUGAAGCGAGGUGGUGAACUCAUGCGGCUGAACCUGCUCAUAGUGGAUUUGAAUGUCAAACGUGUUUUAUAUCUGUAUGUUGGACGUUUUAUUAGAUAUAGUAGUGUCCUCAUAUACUUAGCCUGAAGGUGAAUGUAUAUGUGUAUGUAUAUAGCUUGGUCGCCAGAGACACUGGUCUCACACCAGCAGCACCACUCCUGAGAGAGAUUGCAAAAGUCGAGCCCGUAACCGUAGCUGAGCUCAAUAGCUUUGUCACCACUGCCGUGUCUGAGGAUAUUGAGUUCAUGUGCACCGGCACGGUUAUCCGACCCGAUUCAGAGAAAGGAUGGUGUUACAUUGCUGGCUCUAAAUCUAGCAGGAAGCUCAAGCGCACUGAAUCUGCCUUUACAUGUGUGCGUUGCGAGAAUUAUCAUGCUCUACCGAAUGGAGCUUACAAUCGCUGAUGACACUGAUGAAGGUAUCUUUGUUUGUUUUGAUGGUGUAAUGACAAAGCUACAUGGUCUCGAAGCACAUGAAGCUGGCCAAAUUUUGGCUGAAGACGGUGUUACCCUGAGGACUCUCGGAUGCCUCUGUUUGUUACAGGCAUGCAAGGGAAGACGCACACUUUCCAUGUCAAGUUAACCACGUAUGAUUUCACAGCAAGACGUCAAAGCUUCACUGUCACCCGUAAUAUCAAUGAAUGUGAACAUCUGCCGCUUCCCGAUUUCGUCGAUAAUGGAGGAGAUGAUAACAAU